UUCUUUCGUAAUCCCCCUUGGAGUAACCAAGCUCCCUCCGUGAAACCUCAAACUCAGCUUCACGCCCCCUAAAUUCAUUAUCCCUGUAACCACCAUGUCUUCCAGCAGCCAUGUAAACGUCUGUAUCAAAGAAAACCCUAAAUUCACCUAUAAACCCUAACCCUAAUUUCACAAAUAAAAUCAGCAAACCCAACAAACCCUAGCUCGAUGAAAAAUCGAGUUAUUUGAAAACUCAAUAGCAGAUCUGGUAAAAACUAAUCAAAAUAUAUAAAAAUCAAUUGAAAUUUUUUUCCCNNNN
rnacentral:lncRNA from 1 species